UUAUGGUUUCUUUACCUGGAUGAGGCUCUGGUCUCUAUCCGUGCCUUAUUUUAGAAUAAGGGGAAGGGCUGUGUGGAGGAGAAGAUCCUUUGGCUACGAGGCUACCGUGGUUCCUGAGAGCUACUACCCAGCAGCUCGGAGGUUAAAGGGGGAAUGAGAGAAAGUAGCAAUACUGGAAGAGGAAAGGGAAAUAAUGAUCUAAUAUGAUCCUUGAAAGCUCCCUGCAGCCAACUACAGAGAGGAUUUGGAGACUUACAGUGAAAUGACUGACACUAGGUCAACCGCCAAGAGCUGUGAGUGGGCUAGGGCGUGAAGGAGGUGAUGUGGAGACAAUGGAGCUGCUAACCCUGUGGUCAACGGUGGAUCCAACUGAUUCACUCACCUCGGCCCACUUCUGCUUUUGGGAUCAUGGUGUACCAGGAAGCUGAGCCAGGAUAUCUAUAUAUCCUGCAGAGAGAUCAGACUUCCUUGGGACCAGACUGGAUCUGGAGCGUGGACCGGAGUCUUGCAUCCCCCCAACACCUGGAUUUAGAGGUAGCCUACUGAAGAUCAAAAUCAUACCUUCCUUUGCUAAAUGUGGAGAGGAGAAAUGGAUUAACUAGGGAGCGCUUUGUACAGUGCUCUAGACACAGUAAACCCCCAGUAAAGACCAUUGAUGACGAUAAUGCCGAGACCUUCAUGAGGAUCAUCAUGCAGAUAUCUUCACUGAUGAGACGAUGAUGGGGCAAGCGUCCACCAACUCUGUUCUACCGUUCUCUCCCAAGCGCCUAGUAAAGUGAUCAG